rnacentral:lncRNA from 1 species
GUUGGUUCUCUUCCUAUUUUGGUCUCAUUUAGUACAGUUUAGUCAGUUGUUAAGUAUAUAAAAUGUUGAAUAUCACAUCUUUGCCACUGUGUUUACUUUCAGGAGUGACAAUAUUUCAGCUGCUGCCUGAUCGUUCCAUCUGAUUCAUUCUUGUCUUUCAGAGCAAACAACCCCACUGGAGCUCAGCACUGCCUUCUAAAUUUGAUCUGAACUUAAGCUCUGUCUCCUCUAUUUAGGCUGAAGAUAUGUGGUAUUGCUCUGUGUGCCCCAGCAAAUCUAAUUUCCACUCAGGACCAGCCUUUUCUUGGCUACUAGGUACUGGGAACCAAGGAUCUUAAUGUAGCUUGGGAGACGCUUGUACACACCCUACUUGCAAGAGCCAUGUGGUCAGUGUUCUACUAGCAGCAUGGACAUGAGUGGCUGUGGGAGCAGCACGGAGGACUUCCUGGAGAAGAUUAUUAAAAACUCCAAUUUGUGUCUGUGUAACUCAACGUGGGAGCCUGGAACCAUGUUUACUCUUCUGAUGACCCUGAAAGCCUGAUUCGAGUGCUACAUGGAUAAAAGAGUGAGUUGAUGGAGCUGGCCUUGGGCAAGCUCAUUCUUCCA